AUAUUAAUAAGAGGAGGAAAAUAAAAAUGACAAUAAUUCCUUUAGUAAACUGUGAAUAAAGAGGGAUAAGUUCAAAAUUUUAAUUUGUUAAGGCUACCUAACCAAGUUGUAAUUUGAAGAAAUAUUUUUUCUUGGAAUAAGAUAUCAUGGAGAAUGAGGGAGGAUCAUAUUCAGCUAAUCAAUUCAGACUCAAGUUGUUUUGGAUUGUGGCUUAAAAUAGGUGAUAAAUUUCUCUUUAAGACUAAAUAUUAGCGAGAGACCGAUAGCGCACAAGUA
rnacentral:rRNA from 1 species